UAAAACAUAGAGAAAUAUUCUCCAAGUGAGGAGAUAGAACCACAUUGAGAGAAUGUCGGAAAAUCGUAUUCCGACGAGCACAUGGUGAAUGAUGACAUGCUCCUGAAUGAUUUGUUGGUUCUGUUUAAUAAAGGAAAAACAAUAAAGCAUAAUGGAGUAAAUAAAAAAGUCAGAUGACGAGGCUAGCAAGACCAGAAUCUGGGAAAGAGACACAUGCAGAGGCCGAUUGUCGGGUGACAGAAGAAUAAAACAUUCAUUUCAACCUAAAUCAAGAAGAUUGUCAUUUGGAAGCAAAGGCCAUAUAGAAUUUUGGGAAAGAAAUUGGUAUGGUGGCUAAGGGGAAGGAAGAAAUAGUAAGGAUAUUACACAAAAUGGAACAACAAAUUGUUGAAAGGAACACAAGAAAGAAGGUGUACAGAGAUGACAAAGGUAUAUAUUGAUUCAGAGCAAGAAACGUCGAAGGGAUCACAACAUCAUCAUGAAAAUAAUGUCUUAGUGUAAGAGGUCUGGGUAAAGGGGU
rnacentral:lncRNA from 1 species